GACGAACGCUGGCGGCGUGCCUAAUACAUGCAAGUCGAGCGCAGGAAGUCAUCCGAACCCUUCGGGGGGACGUUGACGGAAUGAGCGGCGGACGGGUGAGUAACACGUAAAGAACCUGCCCUCAGGUCUGGGAUAACCACGAGAAAUCGGGGCUAAUACCGGAUGGGUCAUCGGACCGCAUGGUCCGAGGAUGAAAGGCGCUCCGGCGUCGCCUGGGGAUGGCUUUGCGGUGCAUUAGCUAGUUGGUGGGGUAAUGGCCCACCAAGGCGACGAUGCAUAGCCGACCUGAGAGGGUGAUCGGCCACACUGGGACUGAGACACGGCCCAGACUCCUACGGGAGGCAGCAGUAGGGAAUCUUCCACAAUGGACGAAAGUCUGAUGGGGCAACGCCGCGUGAACGAUGAAGGCCCUCGGGUCGUAAAGUUCUGUUGUAAGGGAAGAACAAGUGCCGCAGGCAAUGGCGGCACCUUGACGGUACCUUGCGAGAAAGCCACGGCUAACUACGUG
rnacentral:rRNA from 1 species